rnacentral:lncRNA from 1 species
GGGUAACCGAACUGUCUGCAGAGAUAUCAGUCGGAUUCGUCAUAAAGACAAAACAGAAGGGAAACAGAAAAUAUAGGAUCGGCAAAAAAAAAACUUGCUGUUGAGCAGAAGGCUCUGAUACCAUAAGAAUGCAGAAGAAGAUGUAUUCUAUUGAUGUAUAUCUGUGGUUAAAUACACAAAUGCAAAGUCAUCUAAUCCUAAGAAAAAGGAAUUUGAAAUACAGAUGGUUACAACAGUUUACUAUUUAAACU